AGAGUUUGAUCCUGGCUCAGGAUGAACGCUGGCGGCGUGCUUAACACAUGCAAGUCGAACGAUGAUCCCAGCUUGCUGGGGGAUUAGUGGCGAACGGGUGAGUAACACGUGAGUAACCUGCCCUUAACUCUGGGAUAAGCCUGGGAAACUGGGUCUAAUACCGGAUAUGACUCCUCAUCGCAUGGUGGGGGGUGGAAAGCUUUAUUGUGGUUUUGGAUGGACUCGCGGCCUAUCAGCUUGUUGGUGAGGUAAUGGCUCACCAAGGCGACGACGGGUAGCCGGCCUGAGAGGGUGACCGGCCACACUGGGACUGAGACACGGCCCAGACUCCUACGGGAGGCAGCAGUGGGGAAUAUUGCACAAUGGGCGAAAGCCUGAUGCAGCGACGCCGCGUGAGGGAUGACGGCCUUCGGGUUGUAAACCUCUUUCAGUAGGGAAGAAGCGAAAGUGACGGUACCUGCAGAAGAAGCGCCGGCUAACUACGUGCCAGCAGCCGCGGUAAUACGUAGGGCGCAAGCGUUAUCCGGAAUUAUUGGGCGUAAAGAGCUCGUAGGCGGUUUGUCGCGUCUGCCGUGAAAGUCCGGGGCUCAACUCCGGAUCUGCGGUGGGUACGGGCAGACUAGAGUGAUGUAGGGGAGACUGGAAUUCCUGGUGUAGCGGUGAAAUGCGCAGAUAUCAGGAGGAACACCGGUGGCGAAGGCAGGUCUCUGGGCAUUAACUGACGCUGAGGAGCGAAAGCAUGGGGAGCGAACAGGAUUAGAUACCCUGGUAGUCCAUGCCGUAAACGUUGGGCACUAGGU
rnacentral:rRNA from 1 species